AAAUUAAUAUAAAAAAUAAACUAAUAAAAACAAAUCUUAAAAAAUAAAACUAAUAAAAUAAAAAUCUAAUAAAAUCAAAUCCUAAAAAAUAAAACUAAUAAAAACAAAUCUUAAAAUAUAAAUCUUAAAAAAAUAAAACUAAUAAAAACAAAUCUUAAAAUAUAAAUCUUAAAAAAAUAAAACUAAUAAAAACAAAUCCUAAAAAAUACACUAAUAAAAACAAAUCUUAAAAAAGUAAACUAAUAAAAACAAAUCUUAAAAAAUAAAACUAAU
rnacentral:lncRNA from 1 species